rnacentral:rRNA from 1 species
CUUUUACAAUGAAGAGUUUGAUCCUGGCUCAGGAUGAACGCUAGCUACAGGCUUAACACAUGCAAGUCGAGGGGCAGCAUCAUCAAAGCUUGCUUUGAUGGAUGGCGACCGGCGCACGGGUGAGUAACACGUAUCCAACCUGCCGACAACACUGGGAUAGCCUUUCGAAAGAAAGAUUAAUACCGGAUGGCAUAGUUUUCCCGCAUGGGAUAAUUAUUAAAGAAUUUCGGUUGUCGAUGGGGAUGCGUUCCAUUAGGCAGUUGGCGGGGUAACGGCCCACCAAACCAACGAUGGAUAGGGGUUCUGAGAGGAAGGUCCCCCACAUUGGAACUGAGACACGGUCCAAACUCCUACGGGAGGCAGCAGUGAGGAAUAUUGGUCAAUGGACGAGAGUCUGAACCAGCCAAGUAGCGUGAAGGAUGACUGCCCUAUGGGUUGUAAACUUCUUUUAUACGGGAAUAAAGUUAGCCACGUGUGGCUUUUUGUAUGUACCGUAUGAAUAAGGAUCGGCUAACUCCGUGCCAGCAGCCGCGGUAAUACGGAGGAUCCGAGCGUUAUCCGGAUUUAUUGGGUUUAAAGGGAGCGUAGGCGGGUUGUUAAGUCAGUUGUGAAAGUUUGCGGCUCAACCGUAAAAUUGCAGUUGAUACUGGCGACCUUGAGUGCAACAGAGGUAGGCGGAAUUCGUGGUGUAGCGGUGAAAUGCUUAGAUAUCACGAAGAACUCCGAUUGCGAAGGCAGCUUACUGGAUUGUAACUGACGCUGAUGCUCGAAAGUGUGGGUAUCAAACAGGAUUAGAUACCCUGGUAGUCCACACAGUAAACGAUGAAUACUCGCUGUUGGCGAUAUACAGUCAGCGGCCAAGCGAAAGCAUUAAGUAUUCCACCUGGGGAGUACGCCGGCAACGGUGAAACUCAAAGGAAUUGACGGGGGCCCGCACAAGCGGAGGAACAUGUGGUUUAAUUCGAUGAUACGCGAGGAACCUUACCCGGGCUUAAAUUGCAACUGACGGAACCGGAAACGGUUCUUUCUUCGGACAGUUGUGAAGGUGCUGCAUGGUUGUCGUCAGCUCGUGCCGUGAGGUGUCGGCUUAAGUGCCAUAACGAGCGCAACCCUUAUCGAUAGUUACUAGCAGGUCAUGCUGAGGACUCUAUUGAGACUGCCGUCGUAAGAUGUGAGGAAGGUGGGGAUGACGUCAAAUCAGCACGGCCCUUACGUCCGGGGCUACACACGUGUUACAAUGGGGGGUACAGAAGGCAGCUACACGGCGACGUGGUGCUAAUCCCGAAAGCCUCUCUCAGUUCGGAUUGGAGUCUGCAACCCGACUCCAUGAAGCUGGAUUCGCUAGUAAUCGCGCAUCAGCCACGGCGCGGUGAAUACGUUCCCGGGCCUUGUACACACCGCCCGUCAAGCCAUGAAAGCCGGGGGUACCUGAAGUACGUAACCGCGAGGAGCGUCCUAGGGUAAAACUGGUGAUUGGGGCUAAGUCGUAACAAGGUAGCCGUACCGGAAGGUGCGGCUGGAACACCUCCUUUCU